UGAGCUUCCAAACAGCAGAUGGCGCUGUCUUAGAUCUGCUGUGCUGAAUCUGAGGCGGCUCCGGUCUGUCCUUUACAUGAUGAGGUUUAUCUCUGUGUUUAACGGCUCUGACUCUCCCCCAGGACAAGACGAGGAGGAAAUGUCAAAAAGAAAAGAACAGCCUCUGGCUCUGAGCCUCCAGAGGGCAGCACUGAGCCUCCAGAGGGCAGCACUGAGCCACAGCUCUAUGGGACAAAACGCAGAUCCACAGCCUCAGUGUCCGCUCUGUCCAUGAAGAGUGACUGGUCUAAAGGCCACGUUCCAAACUUCAGUCCUGAACCUGCUCCAGACUCACGAAGCAGAUCCACAGCCUCAGUGUCCGCUCUGUCCAUGAAGAGUGACUGGUCUAAAGGCCACGUUCCAAACUUCAGUCCUGAACCUGCUCCAGACUCACGAAGCAGAUCCACAGUGUCCGCUCUGUCCAUGAAGAGUGACUGGUCUAAAGGCCACGUUCCAAACUUCAGUCCUGAACCUUCUCCAGACUCACGAAGCAGAUCUACAGCCUCAGUGUCCGCUCUGUCCAUGAAGAGUGACAGGUCUAAAGAGUUCCCUCCAGAGUUCAGUGGUGAACCUGCUCCAGACUCACAAGAAACAGAGUCAGAGCAGGACGCCUGGCCUCAGUGUGGAGACACAGGCAACAGUCCUGAUCAGUGGGUUCAAGGCCCUGCACCAGGUGAGUCUGCUCAGUCUGAGACUCAUGAACUACAGCAGGGAAUAAGAGACCUGUUCAUCAACAUUAACAGGUG
rnacentral:lncRNA from 1 species